UUCUCAAAGUGAGCUUGAAGAGUUUGGCCAUUCAAAGCGGCAUAAGAAGAAUGGUAGAACGAAAACGGUAGAUGUUUUUAUACAACAUUUUUCUUUUCCUAUUUGGCUUUGUGGUUUCACUUGUGGAUUUCUCCUUGUUAUUGUUAUUAUCUCUUUGUGCAUCUUAGGAUAAGAAGAGGGAGCGAAGUAAGAAACAUCACCAUGAAAGGCGUAGGAACAAAGCUAAAGAGUUGGGGUCCGUGUCAUGAUGAUCGGGCUGUUGAUUGGGAGUUGAUGUAUAGAAACAGCCAGAAGAGAGUAGUAGCCCUGUGCAGCUUUCCAAGUUUAUAUCGCGGGAGAAGGAUGAUGGUACUCGGCGGAGUGCUGUCUCUGGCAAAAAGAUUUUGUUAAAC